AUUAGUAUGCUAUAUGAUGUUAAUAUUUGAAUAUUUAGUCAGGUCUGGAAAGAAGCAGCUAACUCAAAUAUUUCAUGCAUUUAGAUUUUAUUAAUAAA
rnacentral:SRP_RNA from 1 species